GAAGUUGGAGCCUUCAAGAUGGUUUGUGAUGAAUUUGCAUGAUGUGGAUUGGAAUUUGUAUUUGAACACUCUGUUUUGGAAUUUAAACUAUUGGGACUCAAUAAGUACUCUUGGUGGAGAGGUGGAUAACCCGAAGAAAAAUCUACCUAAAGCUCUCUUUUAUGCUUUGAUCUUGGUUGUUCUUAGCUAUUUCUUCCCCCUUUUGGUUGGCACUGGUGCUAUCCCACUCAACCGUGAUUUGUGGACUGAUGGGUAUUUCUCAGAUAUUGCCAAAAUUCUCGGGGGUGUUUGGUUGAGAUGGUGGAUCCAAGGGGCUGCAGCAAUGUCAAAUAUGGGAAUGUUCGUGGCUGAAAUGAGCAGUGACUCUUUCCAGCUUCUGGGGAUGGCAGAGCGAGGAAUGCUUCCAGAGUUCUUUGCCAAGCGGUCUCGGCAUGGCACGCCUUUGAUUGGGAUUUUAUUUUCUGCAUCUGGUGUUAUUUUGUUAUCAUGGCUAAGCUUUCAGGAGAUCAUAGCUGCAGAGAAUUUUUUAUAUUGCUUUGGAAUGAUAUUGGAAUUUAUAGCAUUUGUAUUGCUAAGGAUAAAAUGUCCUGUUGCUUCACGGCCUUACAAGAUUCCUGUGGGAACAGUUGGAGCCAUUCUUAUGUGUAUUCCUCCAACCAUACUGAUUUGUGUUGUGCUAGCUCUUUCAAUAGUCAAAGUGAUGAUUGUGAGUCUGUUUGCGGUGGCAAUUGGCCUUGUGAUGCAGCCGUGUCUCAAAUACGCCGAGAAAAAGAGGUGGAUGAAGUUCUCUGUCAGUGGUGAACUCCCAGACCUUCAUGAAGGUAAUCAGGAGAGAGUUGAUUUCUUAGAAGACUAGUCAAUAAUAUUUGACACAUGGCAGCUCAAAACCGUCAUGCUGCAGCUCAGAAAGAUAGUCGUGAAACAAGCAAGUGGUAGCUUGUGUCUAUAUAUGCUUCGACUUUUUGAAAUGCUUAGGAAUACAUGCCCUGAUACCUGUUUAUCAUCCUUGUUUUAAAGCAUGGAAGAUGAAAAUGAUAGUUGAAAAAAGCAAGAAGAAGCGAAGUUGGGGAAGGAAAUGGUGCAAAUCAUGUUUCUCAGUAUGUUGUAAAACUGUCUUAGAAAACUAGCAAUAGAGUUUGAAUUUGUUCUACAGCAUCUGUUUGAUUUAGGACUUUUGAUGAUGUUUGAAUGGUUUGGCAAACAGCAUAGGACAAGCAUUCUUGUUCAGGUUCUACAUGUAAAUUGUCUAGUGGUGUAGAGUUCCCCCUGUUUCUAUGUAAGUUUAUGCAUUGCCAUAGUUUUUAUGGUUGAUUUUUAAAAAAAUCUGUUUUAUAAAAAAUAUUUUUAAUUAAGGUUGAUUUGAUAUUUAUAUAUGUGAUUAAAACUGUGGUUGAAAUUAAGGUUGAAUAAAAAAUAAUUUAAUGUGUAUAUAUAUUAGUAUUGAUGGUUUUUAAUUUAAAUAUUGUAGAUUUAAUUACUCUUAUUAUAUCAUGAAAUAAAUAAUAUUUUUUAUAUAUAAAAAAUUUUUUAUUCCAUUAAAUUAUUUAUAAUUUCAUCACGUACGAAAUUCAUCUGUGAGAAUGAUGGGUUUUUUAGUGUAUAAUAAAAUUAAAUAAAAUAUUAUGAAGAAUAAAAUUUGAAUUACAAUCAAAUUUUGUAAGGUUAUGCCUUCAAUUUUUCUAAUUUAUAUAAUAUUAUUAAAUAAUAUUAAAUAUUGGAUUUUUUUUAAUAAAACAUAUUUUAAAAAAAUUAUUUUUUUUAUUGUUUACAUGAACAGUACAAAUAAAUAAAAUCAAUGCAGGUUAACAAAUAUGCAAAGUGCCGACAAAGCAGGUAUAUCUUGCUUUUCCCCGACCUACGUGUCUAUGUGAUUUUAGGCGGGUUCCAUUAACUAAAAACACUGUUUAUCAUUUUAAUCAAACAUCAUAAAAUUAUAGUUUUUUUAAAAUAUAAUUACUGUCGUGUAAACAAACACACUCCUACACGUGUUUCCAAUUAAACUGGUGAGCGUUGAUCUGAAUUGCCUGGAUGACAGGGAAAAACCCAAUUUGGCUUUAUUUUUAAUUUUUAAUUUUGUACACUAUUUUUUCUUUUUUAAAGAAGUAGGUGACACAUUGACUGUGUAGUAAAUAUGACAUGUCAUCUCUGAUCCCAUCUUCUAUCACCGAAGAGAUGGCUUGAAAAACAUACUGGGGUUUUAUGAAAAAAAAAAUCAAUUUUCAAUCAAUUUUUAUUUAUAAAUAUAAAAAACAUUUUUAUAAUCUUAAUAUACUAAUUUUUAACUAUAAAAAAAAUCGAUUCAAAAACACAUAAGAUAUGUUGUCUGUAGCCUAAUUUCGAAGUGGUUGAAAAUUAGAAUUAUGUUUUUUAGAUUCAAAAAUCUAAUUUUAACUUUAUUUUCAUAUAAAAACACAUUAAAAAAUUCUUUAUAACCCUAAUAUAAAAAUUAUCUCACAAAAAAUCAAAAUCAAUUCAAAAAUAUAGAAGACGUUUCGUCAUUAGCCCAAUUUCCUACGAGGUAGUUGGAAAAAUGAAUUAGAGUUUUUUUUUUUAAUAAAAAAAUCUAGUUUUCAAAACUUUUUUUUUAUUUUUAGUUUUUAUGUUUUUAAAAAAUCAUGUUUCAAUUUAUAAAAGAGAGAAAAUAUUGAAAAUAUUGGUGGUUGGCCAUGUUUGGAUAAUAAUUUUUUUUUUGUGAGAGAAUAUCAUUUAGGUAUAAAGAAAUUGAUUUUAAUGUGAAUAAUUUUUUUGUUUUCUCUCUCCCUCCACCGCUCUCUUUACAACUUUCCUUCUUUUGUUUCUCAUCAGUCUUUUUGUUUAUUAUUAUCCACUUGAGAAGGUCGGGAUUCUUUUUUCUUUGUUAUGUUUAGUUUUAUGGAUUUGAUUGGAUAUAUUUCAUGUUAGAAAACCCAUUUUCUGUUUUCUUGAAUGAUGCUCAUUUCGUUGCUCAAUUUUGAAACUUUGUGCUUAUGUUUUGCCAUUAUUUAGCUGCGUUGAUGAGUCAGUUUCGUCUUGAUUUUUAUUUGCUUUGAUUACCUACUUGAUAAAUCAUAGAGAUCCCAACUUUUUUUUAAUGAAGUUAGAACCUUAUGUUAAGUGCAGAAACUGAGGAACACAGCAGCAAAUAAGCAAGAACCUUCUAUUGCAAUGGGAGAAUACAAUGGUGUUGCAUAUGUGGAUAUUAAUGAAGGACCUUCUUCACCUAAAUUGGACAACAUUAAGAAAGUUUCAGUUUUGCACCUCAUUUUUCUCAUCUUCUUUGAGGUUUCCGGUGGACCUUUUGGAGCGGAGGAUAGUGUUCAGGCAGCUGGUCCGCUCCUUUCACUUCUUGGGUUCUUGGUAUUCCCAUUAAUAUGGAGUGUUCCCGAGGCAUUGAUUACAGCCGAGAUGGGUACCAUGUUUCCAGAAAAUGGAGGUUAUGUUGUUUGGGUUUCAACUGCUUUGGGUCCUUACUGUGGUUUCCAGCAAGGAUGGAUGAAGUGGCUGAGCGGGGUGAUUGAUAAUGCCCUGUACCCGGUUCUUUUUCUUGACUAUUUGAAGUCGGGAAUCCCAGCUUUGGGUGGUGGUUUACCAAGAGUUGCAGCUGCUCUGGCUUUGACAUUUCUCCUCACUUACAUGAAUUACAGGGGUUUAGCUAUUGUGGGAUGGGUUGCAGUUAUUCUGGGGAUCAUUUCGAUCCUUCCUUUUGUCGUUAUGGGGCUAGUGGCGAUUCCGAAGUUGGAGCCUUCAAGAUGGUUUGUGAUGAAUUUGCAUGAUGUGGAUUGGAAUUUGUAUUUGAACACUCUGUUUUGGAAUUUAAACUAUUGGGACUCAGUAAGUACUCUUGGUGGAGAGGUGGAUAACCCGAAGAAAAAUCUACCUAAAGCUCUCUUUUAUGCUUUGAUCUUGGUUGUUCUUAGCUAUUUCUUCCCCCUUUUGGUUGGCACUGGUGCUAUCCCACUCAACCGUGAUUUGUGGACUGAUGGGUAUUUCUCAGAUAUUGCCAAAAUUCUCGGGGGUGUUUGGUUGAGAUGGUGGAUCCAAGGGGCUGCAGCAAUGUCAAAUAUGGGAAUGUUCGUGGCUGAAAUGAGCAGUGACUCUUUCCAGCUUCUGGGGAUGGCAGAGCGAGGAAUGCUUCCAGAGUUCUUUGCCAAGCGGUCUCGGCAUGGCACGCCUUUGAUUGGGAUUUUAUUUUCUGCAUCUGGUGUUAUUUUGUUAUCAUGGCUAAGCUUUCAGGAGAUCAUAGCUGCAGAGAAUUUUUUAUAUUGCUUUGGAAUGAUAUUGGAAUUUAUAGCAUUUGUAUUGCUAAGGAUAAAAUGUCCUGUUGCUUCACGGCCUUACAAGAUUCCUGUGGGAACAGUUGGAGCCAUUCUUAUGUGUAUUCCUCCAACCAUACUGAUUUGUGUUUUGCUAUCUCUUUCAACAGUCAAAGUGAUGAUUGUGAGUCUGUUUGCGGGUGGCAAUUGGCCUUGUGAUGCAGCCCUGUCUCAAAUACGCCGAGAAAAAGAGGUGGAUGAAGUUCUCUGUCAGUGGUGAACUCCCAGACCUUCAUGAAUGUAAUAAUCAGGAGAGAGUUGACUUCUUAGAAGACUAGUCAAUAAUAUUUGACACAUGGCAGCUCAAAACCGUCAUGCUGCAGCUCAGAAAGAUAGUCGUGAAACAAGCAAGUGGUAGCUUGUGUCUGUAUAUGCUUCGUGUUUUUGAAAUGCUUAGGAAUACAUGCCCUGAUACCUGUUUAUCAUCCUUGUUUUAAAGCAUGGAAGAUGAAAAUGAUGGUUGAAAAAGGCAAGAAGAAGCGAAGUUGGGGAAGGAAAUGGUGCAAAUCAUGUUUUUCAGAAUGUUGUAAAGCUGUCUUAGAAAAUUAGCAGUAGAGUUUGAAUUUGUUUUACAGCAUCUGUUUGAUUUAGGACUUUCGAU
rnacentral:lncRNA from 1 species